AAUUAUUUCUCAUAAUGUUAUCGUAUGUUCUGCUGUCAAAAUAUAUUUGUCAAAAUAUAUAUUUUGAGAUCAGUGGUCUACAUGGAUACAUAGAUUACCCACAACAAGCUAACCCUAUGUGGUCACACCCUAUGUUUCAACGCAUCCUUUAAUUACUGAUCAACUGCGAUUACCUCCACACGGUGGAAAAACAAGAAAACGUAAAGCAAACUGUUAUAACUGGAAACAGUCGAAAAGAAAGCAACUUAGAAUAUCAGGAAAAGAAUAUAUAAAUAUUAGAGUUGACCCAUCUGAAGAGAACCCAUCUGAAGGGAACUUAAAUGCUUUUCAAGAACACCAUGUGAAUUUAAUAAAAACAAGAUCGUUAUGAAUUUAAAAUUAAAGAAGAUAUAAUCUCUUUUUCCAUAUUUCACUUAAACUUAAGAAGAAUGCGACAUAAUUUUGAGAAGUUUAAUAAACUUCUAGAUAUUUUAAAUUACACGUUUGACGUCAAACUCUGUUUGAAGCUUGGCAUGGAAUCGGAAAUUUCGCUAGAAUCGAAUUCUAAUUAUAGCCAACCACGCGGAAAUCAAAAGAUAGCGGAAGACUAGAUGUUUACGUUUUCGAGGAGUAUUCGUUUAAAAUAAAAAAGUUAUGCGUAGCAAA